GGCUGGCUGGCGUGUGUCCACCGUCCCCUAGACGCCUCGAGCCCCGCCCCUGGGAGACGCAGGCUCCUCCCCGCGGAGCGAGAGCCCGCGGAGCUGCUCCCAGACCCGCGGGAGGGCACCUCCGGUCACCCGAGCCGCAAAUCCCCGCCGUCCAAAGAAGGUGUCGCCCCGGGCUGGCGGCCCAGCGUGGCUUAGGCCAGGUACAGCCGGCAGCGCCCGCCAAGCCCUGGGCUAGGGUCGCCUGCGGGAGUUCACGGGGAGGCGCCGGUGUCUGAGGUCUGAGAAGACAACGGCCACCGGAAAAGGUGCUAGUGUUUGCAGACCCCGAUCCAUCGACACCCCAAGGAAAUGCUGUGCACAAAAUUCCAAGAGGGCCUUUUCGAAUAGACGCAUGAGCGGUGUUUGUGUCUAGAUCGUCCAGCCUCCCGGGAUCGAUUGGGAAUCUAGCUUCUGCUUGUCUUUCCAGCGCGACGCACAGUAGGAGCCUAAUGUUUGUUGAAUGAAUGCUGAAUAUCGAACUCGUCUCUGGAGGCCAGAAGCCUAAGAUCCAGGUGUCUGCAGGACCCUGUUCCCUCCUCUGCAGGCUCUGGGGGAGGCUCCUUCUUGCCUCUUCCAGUUCCCGGGGGAUCUGGGUGUCCCCUGGCUUGUGGCGGCACCACUCUAUUCUCUGUGAAUCCACGUGGCCUUCUCCUCUGUGUUUGUGACUUCUUUCCUUCUUAUAAGGACACCUGUCAUUGGAUUUAGGGCCCUA
rnacentral:antisense_RNA from 1 species